GGUCAAUAAAAAAUUGUAAGUAAAGCCUGCUACAAAGUGGACACUAUUCCAGAUUAAGGACAGAGACAGCUAAAACAGAGGAGGGAAGUUCCUCAACAGUGAUUUGCAUAAAAAUCUGAAUGCGUAAAGAGUUAUACAGUAUACACUGCAUGUGGAACUUGAAUAGAAACGACACUCUCUCACACACUGUUCAGUCAUAGAGGCUGUGUACACGUACAGUACGAGCAUGAGAAAGUAAAAGGAAAGCUUAUUAUUGUACAUUUUCUGUAAUGAUAUAGAAUGGAAACUCCUGAGCCCUGUGAAUCCGGAACAUUCUACCAGCAUACUGACUGAACAAUAUAGUUGAUUUGCGUACCGUAUGCUCAUGUCAUCAAAAUGACAUGCUCCCUCGUAGCAACUUAUUUUGAUUCAAUUGCCAACUGAGGUUACCGUGGCAACGCCCAAUGCCGUAUACCCCAUCCCCAUUGAGUCUCUCGCUCAGCAGAGAGAGAGCACAAUUUUUUCCACCACUGCACUGACAUCAUCCAUGACCGCUCCGCUAUUUAUAACCUAACCACUGUGAUGUAGAUCAUUAGGCAAGGAGACCGCUCUCCUCUCCUCGCCACAGGCCAGAGUAAACACUGAGCAGAGAAAACACUGAGUAGAUAAAACACUGAGCAGAGAAAGAAGCUUAACCACACCUCCAAUAGGGGGAAGAAAGUCACAAUGAGUUUCUGAGUCAGUGUUAGUCUCAUGUCACCUGGUUAGUCUCCAUCUCUCUUUUGUUACUUCUGUUUGGGUUUCCUGGUCCGGUCACAUGGUCAGGGAAACCUCAGGGCCUCUAGUAACUUAGAACUGAUAUUGAUGACAGGCCAUCUGUUCUCCUUUAUCACUGUAGAGGGAAAACUUGCACAUCCAUUGAAUGACACUUUGAGGUGUAGUCUAACCUUAACUGCAUUUUGAUUCCUAUUUGCAAUGGGAUUAUUUUCUCCAAGGACGUGCUAUAAGUAUCACCGCGCCAAGGGGGGUGGAAGGAGGGAUGUUUGUGUCACAUUUGACCUGGGAGGUAGGAAAUAAGAUGGCAGAGACAUAAAAGAUUGGAACCUUACCAGGGCAAACCAAAACAGUACUACUCUCACAGCAGUUCCCAUGAAAACAGGCUUGUCCCCGUUAUGCCUAAAGAGAUUACAUCACUUCCUCUGACCUUUCCCUUCUUUUAUCUCUUUACAACAUUGUUUUCCUACAAGGUUCCUCCUCCACAGCUUGUUUUCCUAAAGGGUUCCUCCUCCACACCUUGUUUUCUUACAGGGUUCCUCCUCCACACCUUGUUUUCCUACAGGGUUCCUUGGCAAAGACGUGGAUGUCGAUUAAGGCAGCCCCCCGCACCUCUCUGAUUCAGAGGGGUUGGGCUGAAUGCGGAAGACACAUUUCAGUUAAAGGCAUUCAGUUGUACAACUGACUAGGUAUCCCCCUUUCCCUUUCUUCACACCUUGUUUCCUACAGGGUUCCUCCUCCACAUCCUGUCAUAGGUGUGAAUGGUCUCCAGUCACUACAAUGAACACCUUUACGUGUGUGUGUGUGUGUGUUUGGAAAAUGGACAUCCCUUCCAUCUGUCAAAUUAAGCUUGAUAAAAUGUGAACGUCAGACUUGACCAGGUAGCAGAUUAGCUAUAGCUAUAACUAGAUGUACUAUGUUUAGCUGAUGCUCCUCCUCACAAAGGGUCUUUCUAUAGACUUAAAUACAAUUAUCUUCCUGGUCAGGUAAUUUGGGCUCCAGAGUGGCGCAGCGGUCUAAGGCACUGCAUCUCAGUGCUAGAUAUGUCACUACAGACCCUGGUUCGA
ensembl:lncRNA